GCAAUUCCAGUGGUUCGCAAAAUCAAGAAUCAUAUCAAUGACAUUCAUCAACAAGAGGCUUUAACUGAUUGUCUUGAGCUUCUUGAUCUGUCAGUUGAUUUAGUAUCUGAUUCAAUCGUAGCAAUUGAUAAAAGAAGUCACUCGGGGCAUGCCAAUGCGCAAAGUUGGCUAAGUGGUGUGCUUGCUAACCACGUUACGUGCCUUGAUUCGUUAAGUAAUAAGAAUGGAACAGUUCUUGAUGAGUUGAUCACGAGAGCUAAGGUAGCAUUGGCGAUGCUCGCGUCUGUAACAACUCAGAAUGAGGAUGUUUUCAGGACGGUUUUAGGGAAAAUGCCAUCUUGGGUGAGUUUGAGGGAUAGGAAGCUGAUGGAGAGCUCGGGUAAGGACAUUAUAGCAAAUGCAGUGGUGGCACAAGAUGGAACAGGGGAUUAUCAAACACUUGCUGAAGCAGUUGCUGCAGCACCAGAUAAGAAUAAGACGCGGUACGUGAUCUAUGUAAAGAUGGGAAUUUAUAAAGAGAAUGUUGAGGUGACUAAGAAGAAAAUGAACUUGAUGAUUGUUGGUGAUGGAAUGAAUGCUACCAUCAUUACUGGUAGCCUUAAUGUUGUCGAUGGAUCAACAACCUUCCGCUCUGCCACUCUUGGUAAGUUUUCAACAACUUACGUAUGUAUAGUAGAUGUUGAACCCUUUGGCCUAUUUGUCAUAUACCUUUGAUAUUUCGAACCCCUUUAAUGAAAAUCCUGGCUCCGCCAUCAUGAGCUAGGAUUAAGGAUUGUGUUAUUUGUAGUUCAUAUUUGAUUAAUGAACAAGUGUUACAUAUGUACUAGUGCAUUUUCAUCAUAUUGCAGCUGCAGUUGGGCAAGGAUUUAUACUACAGGACUUAUGUAUACAGAACACAGCAGGACCAGAGAAAGGCCAAGCAGUGGCACUACGAGUUGGAGCUGAUAUGUCUGUCAUAAAUCGUUGUCGUAUAGAUGCUUAUCAAGACACCCUUUAUGCACAUUCUCUAAGGCAAUUCUAUCGAGACUCCUACGUGACAGGUACUCGUGAAGUAGAUUACCCUAAAUGUGCUAUGCUUUCUAUUGAACUCAAGUAUUAAAAAGUUUAAAUCUUGAAUCCGUCUCUGCAGGUACUGUUGAUUUCAUAUUUGGUAAUGCAGCAGUUGUAUUCCAGAAAUGCCAGCUCGUAGCUAGAAAACCGAAUAAAAGACAGAAAAACAUGGUGACUGCACAAGGCAGGACGGACCCAAAUCAGGCCACGGGGACAUCAAUUCAGUUCUGUGACAUAAUAGCAAGUCCGGACCUUGAACCAGUCGUGAACGAAUUCAAAACGUAUCUUGGUAGGCCAUGGAAAAAAUAUUCAAGAACUGUAGUGAUGCAAUCGUACCUAGGUGGUCAUAUUGAUCCAUCAGGUUGGUUUGAAUGGCGCGGAGAUUUUGCGUUGAAGACAUUGUAUUAUGGUGAAUUUAUGAACAAUGGACCUGGUGCUGGUACUAGUAAGCGUGUCAAGUGGCCUGGUUAUCAUGUCAUUACUGAUCCUGCUAAAGCUAUGCCGUUCACUGUGGCUGAGCUGAUUCAGGGCGGAUCAUGGUUGAAUUCGACUAGCGUGGCGUAUGUGGAAGGGUUAUUUGAGUAGGGAAUAAUAAAAGUACUCUUCGUUUAUGUAGAAAACAUUACUAAAAAGCUCAAAAUAAGUAGUAGUAAUAUAUAUAAUGUACAACAUAAGCAAAGGCAGAGCCAGAAUUAAGAGUUUAAAGCAUGAAAAGAAAGAACACACGACUCUAGUGUGACAAGCAUUUCCAUGCCCCAUUCUCUAACACUGAGCUGUCAAUCAGUUUUGUUAGGGGUUCACAAGUUAAUAUAUAUAUAUAUAUAUAUAUUUUUUUUUUUUUUUGUGAAAGAAGUGGCAGAUUGUAGUUUUGAUCUUUGAAUAAUCCUAUGGGUCUUUUGGGCUUAGUUUUGGUACUUGAUGUAGUUUGGGCCUCUUGGGAGAAGUCAUGUGAAUGAACAUCGGAAAAUUGUGAUUGGGCCAAUAUCUUUCUUUCUAGUAUCUAUUGAGUAUUUGUUCAAAGUGGUAAAAAGAUGUCUUUGCACUAAUGACCUUUUGUGAGGUCAGUUAUUUAAGAUUCUAUAUCUGUUAUUCUAGUGGGUAUUUAUUAUCGGGAAAAAAUAAUUUGACUUGACACGUAGUUUAAGAAAAUAAUUUUUUUUUUCAAUUUUGUGGUUCCUAAUUAAAGUUAUGACAAAUGUAUCAAAAUGUCAUUUAAUCCUGUGGUUUGAAACAUGUCACGUGGAAAGCUGAAAUUAAAGUGCUGUAAAAAAAACAAAAGGAUCAUUCUUUUUAAAACAGUCUAAAAAAAAAGUAGGAUAUUCUUUUUGAAAUAGAGGCAGUAAUACAUUUAAUUAUUACUUUCAAAAGACAAAGUUUCUCCAUUUGAUUAACAUGAAAAAAAUGUAAAGUGUGACCUAAAAGAGGUCAUAUGUUGUAAAUAAUUCACUUCUAAAGGCAAAAUUAACACAAUAGAAGUAGAACGAUAAAACAAACGUGAAAUUUACUCUCAACGCCCUUAGGAAUGGUUGAUUUUGAAUUUUUGACAAAUUGUUCGAAUGAGAAUCUAUAACUCCUUUUUGAAUCGAGAGUUAAACGAAAAUAAUCUUUUUAUUCCACAAAGAUAUGAAUAAAGUCUGUGUACAUCUUAUCCUUUUCAAAUCCACUUGUGGAAUUAUAUUGAUCAUAUUAUUGUUCUUUGUUUGUACUUUAAUUCAUUUGUCGUCAAUAAAAUAUCAUAUUUGUCAUAAAAGAGGUUUAGGAAUGUCAAUUAAAUUACCUAAAUUUCAAUCAAAAUUUUUAAUUUUUAAAUUAUUUUAGAAAUAGUAAAAAAGAUAAAUAUGUAGAAUUUUGCACAUUGAAGAAUAGGAAAAUAUAUUUUAAGAAUUUGUAAUUGAAAAUCAUUUAACUUUCAUAAAUAGUGAUGUUACUAUUUGAAAUGGACAUAUGAUCAAUAUUAUUGUAUAGCCUACAAAUAUUAUAAAUUGAGUGGUCUGAUUUUGAAAAAAUAUUGACCUAUGAGUUAUGGUGCUCCACUGAUUUUUUUAGUGCCAUAUCUACUCUUUCAUUUUCUAAAAAAAGAUAUCUUCUCUAGGUGAUAAUUUUUUGCAACCAAUCACAUUUUCUUUGGUACAUUGAAAAAAACUAAAUAAUUUUUUGCUAUCUUUCUUUGGUAAGCAACAUGACUUUUAAAGUUUAGGAGAAAAAUAAUUCCAUUUUCUUGAGCGCUUCAUCUAAAAUUAGCAAUUUCUUUUUCAUGUUUAUGGUCUUCGGUCAUCAAAAAUCUCAUAUUGAUUUGCCUCCCUUCAAAUGCGUAUGAUAGUAAAUUUGUUCAAUUUUAAUAAAUAUCUAUUGUCUUAUGUCCUCUUUGAUAAGUUAGAUGACAAGUAGACAAUCCAUCUCUAGUUCGAAUUCUUUUUAACCCCUAUUUUUUGCUAGUUUGAAAAUUUGUUUGAUGCUUUAUUGUUUUGUAAUGAAAUUUGAAGCAGAUUUCAUUUUACUUAAAUAUUUCUAACAUCCAUUUUUAUUGAUCAUCCUUCAAGAUUAUGUUAUUAAAAAAAUAGGAAGUAUAAAUUGAAGAAGAAAAUGUUUUGAGGCGUGAAUAAUCAUUUUUCUUAAAGAGAUAUUGCGCAUAUACAUAUUGGAGAAAUUCAAACAAUUUCCUUCAAGAUACGACAAAGCCCUUGUGUGUGUGUAUAUAUAUAUAUAUAUAUAUAAUUUUUCAAGCAUUUAGAAUCACCAAUCCUUUAUUUUAUUUUAUAUAUUUUCAAAUAAUCAUUUUGUUAAAUAGUUAACUAUUGUUAAAUUUAACGAUCAAAACUGCACACUUCAAAUAAUUAAAGGUUAAAUUGACAUAAUUAAUAACACAAGGUUUAAAAUUAGAAUUAUGCAAUAAUACAUGAAUUAAAACAGUUAUUUCCCCAAUUAAAAAAGAAGGAAUCAACUGUCAUGAUAAUCUUAAUUCUUACCUUAAAAAUGUCACACUAUCACAAUUUCAAGAUGGUCCUACUUUGGACAAAGUAGUUGAGUCAUAUCAAUUCUCCCUCUUUUGUCAAUUUUAAAUUUUAUCACAUGGGAGAUAUUUGUGAGUAUUGAGUACUUAGCACACGUUGGGGUGGGCGCUCUGUAUUCGGUUUGAGUUUUUCAAAUUUUGGGUUUCGUAAUUUAGUAAUUGAUAGUUAAAAGUAAAUAUUAAAUAUUAUUUUUUAAAAUUUUGAUUUGGUAAUUCGAUAAAUGGUAAAUUAAACUUCGAUUUGGUACGAUGUAUGAUAAUACCGUAUUGAAGUUAUAGCUAAUUGCAUUACAAAGUUAAUACUAUUUCUCCAAUCAUUUUUAUAUUUUAUGUGGAGGCACGAUAUGAUAGAAGAUCAACAAGUAAGAAGACAUUAGAAAAAAACAAAUUGAUACAACUAAAGGACAUAUGUAUUUGGAUUGUUCAUGCUUAUUCUUUAACUUUCUGUUGGGACUUGUACUAAUGAGUAAUGCAUAUGUUGAUAUUUUGACCUUCAUUAAGUAAAUAAUUUGGCAUUCGGAAAAUACCGAAUACCAAAUGGUACUAAUGUCUCAUACCAAACCCAAACCCGAAUACCAUAAUUCUAAAAUCUUACUCUCGACUACCAUACCAAAUACCGAAUUACCGAAGACCAAAUUACCAAAAAAAUUUAUUCGAUUCAGUAAUUCAAUUUUCGAUAUUUUAUGUUCAACCCUAGUCCCAAGUACCCAAUUUUCUUCCACCAUUUAUGGAGAGCGGUAAUUUAUCAAGGAUUAUUAUGAGAUAAAUUGAAACACUUUACUUUAAUCAAAGAUUUUGACUACAACUUUUAGAAAUGAAAAUAAUAUCUGAUACAGAAUGCUUUCCUCUUAACAAGCCUUACUUAUGCGACUCAAAAUUUAUCGAGCCAGUAAAUUACGAAUAUCAAUUGAUUUUAAGUAAGAAUAAAAAUUUGCAAAAGGACCAACUUGAAUUUGCACAAGGACCAACUUGUACUCUAUUAUUACCUCACAUUUGCAUCCACACACAUAUAGACAACAACAUCACUGCCAAAUAAGGCAUAAUAUAUAAAUAUGCCCUUUAACUUGGCUUCAAAUCACAUUUAUGCCUUUCAAUUUUGGGUGUGCACAAGUAGACACUUAAAUUUGUAUAAAAUUGAACAAAUAGACACACAUGUCUAACAUGACAUCUUACAUAUCAAUUUUUAUCCUACGUGGUGUCCUAUGUGUAUUGUGUCAUGUAGGAUUCAUGUGUCUACUUGUUCAAUUUUAUACAAGUUUAAGUACCUACUUGUGCAUAUCCAAAGUUGGAGGACAUAAACGUAAAAUGAUGUCAAGUUAAAGAGGCAAUUGCCCCUCUUUUAACAUAUGCCAAAUGCAUUGACAAUUCCUUAAAUUUAUAAAUUUUAUUUAGACACUCGAAUUAUGAUGUGUUACAAUUUUGAAUGUGACCACAUGAUAAAGUGAUCCUAUUAUAUACUUUCAACUCAAAAUUUUGAGAAAACUUUUGCGAUUAUUUUCAAGCGUUCAUUAUUACAUACAUAAAUAUGUCCUUUAACUUGGCUUCAACUGACAUUUAUGCCCUUCAACUUUUGGUGUGCACAAGUAGACACUUGAACUUGUAUAUAAUUGAACAAGUAGACAUACACGUCCUAUGUGGCAUAAUAUACGUAGGACUCCACGUAAGAUACAAAAUUGUCACGUAGAACACCAUGUAAGACGAAUGUGUCUAUUUGUUCAGUUUUAUAUAAGUUUAAGUGUCUACUUAUACACACUUAAAGUUUGAGGACAUAGAUGACCAUUGAAGCCAAGUUGACGGGGCACAUUUAUGUAUCAUGCCUUCUUUUAACGUAGGUAAAAUACAUUGACAAUGCUUUAAAUUUAUCACUAAAUUUCAUUUAAACAAUCAAACUAUGAUAUGUUACAAUUUAGCCUCUGAACACAUGAUAAAAUGUUCUACUAGACACUUUGGACUCAAAAUUUUGAGAAAACUUUUGCAAUGUUUUAAGCCAUCCAAUAUUUAGAUAUGUUAACCACCUAAAAUAUCUCAUAGAAAUUAAACCUAUUAUAUAAACAAUGUAUUAUAGUAAGUGAAAGUGUAUCAAAAUAUUCAACACACAUAGUUGCAAACUUCUAAAAUGGCUACUCCUCACCAACCUUUGUUAACAAAAACUCACAAACAAAAUCCAAUAAUCAGCUUCAAGAUCCUCUCUUUUGUCAUAACUUUCUUUGUUGCUCUCUUCUUAGUUGUGUUUCUUGUUGCUCCAUACCAAGUUGAGAUUGAACAUUCUAAUCUAUGUAAGGCUGCACAAGAUUCCCAACUCUGCCUUAGUUAUGUCUCUGAUUUAAUGUCCAAUGAAAUUGUCACAUCAAAUUCAGAUGGACUAAGUAUUCUGAAGAAAUUCUUAGUUAAAUAUGUUCAUCAAAUGAACAAUGCAAUUCCAGUGGUUCGCAAAAUCAAGAAUCAGAUCAAUGACAUUCGUCAACAAGGGGCUUUAACUGAUUGUCUUGAGCUUCUUGAUCUGUCAGUUGAUUUAGUAUCUGAUUCAAUUGCAGCAAUUGAUAAAAGAAGUCGUUUGGAGCAUGCCAAUGCGCAAAGUUGGCUAAGUGGUGUGCUUACUAACCACGUUACAUGCCUUGAUUCGUUAAGUACUAAGAAUGGAACAGUUCUUGAUGAGUUGAUCACUAGAGCUAAGGUAGCAUUGGCGAUGCUCACAUCUGUAACAACUCAGAAUGAGGAUGUUUUCAGGACGGUUUUAGGAAAAAUGCCAUCUUGGGUGAGUUCGAGGGAUAGGAAGCUGAUGGAGAGGUCGGGUAAGGACAUCAAAGCAAAUGCAGUGGUGGCACAAGAUGGAACAGGGGAUUAUCAAACACUUGCUGAAGCAGUUGCUGCAGCACCAGAUAGGAGUAAGACGCGUUAUGUAAUUUAUGUAAAGAUGGGAAUUUAUAAAGAGAAUGUUGAGGUGACUAGCAGGAAAAUGAACUUGAUGAUUGUUGGUGAUGGCAUGAAUGCUACCAUCAUUACUGGUAGCCUUAAUUUUGUUGAUGGAACAACAACCUUCCGCUCUGCCACUCUUGGUAAGUGUUCAAUUUAUCAGCCUAUAUUUCUUAUAACUGUGGUGUUCGUGUCAGCUUGCUUUAAUACUAGUGCAUUUUCAUCAUAUUGCAGCUGCAGUUGGGCAAGGAUUUAUACUACAGGACAUAUGUAUACAGAACACAGCAGGACCAGAGAAACACCAAGCAGUGGCACUUCGAGUUGGAGGUGAUAUGUCUGUCAUAAAUCGUUGCCGUAUUGAUGCUUAUCAAGACACCCUAUAUGCACAUUCUCAAAGGCAAUUCUAUCGAGACUCUUACGUGUCAGGUACAGUUCAACUGAAUUCAGUAUUUUUAACAUAACAAAUUAUGAAGGUUGAAUCAUCUAAGUUUAAACCUUGAAUCCGUCUAUGCAGGGACUAUUGAUUUCAUAUUUGGUAAUGCAGCAGUUGUAUUCCAGAAAUGCCAGCUCGUAGCUAGAAAACCGAGUAAAUAUCAGAAAAACAUGGUGACUGCACAAGGCAGGACGGACCCAAAUCAGGCCACGGGGACAUCAAUUCAAUUCUGUGACAUAAUAGCUAGUCCGGAC
rnacentral:lncRNA from 1 species